ACCCUCUCAGGGUCACACCUGGAGAGUUUCCAGUACUCUUCCAGUCUCGACUACAGGAGGGAGAGUCAAGUGGAGGCCUACCCAUUCCAUUCCCAGCUUGGGCAAUGGCUAGCGAGUGGAAGGCCAUCUGUGACAAGU